CUUGACGUGGAAACAGGAGCCCUCUCUGGGCUAGUUUUGGUUUCUGAGGCCCUCCCUGGGCCAGAGGCUACAAUAACUACCCUCUCUGGGCUUGACGUAGGAACAGGAGCCCUCUCUGGAGGGAGCGGGCUCUAACAAUCGUCAGGAGACAGGAAUUGAAACAAAUUAUCAUCGAGUCCCAUUGGGAAGCAGGCAUUAACCAUGUAAUCGCUCCAGCUCACCAGAUGUACAACACUCAGGACCUCCUCCACAUAUUGUUCCAAAGGCCAUCCAUCCUGCUGAAUGUUCCAAAUUAACUCCUCAGCCCAGUUCAUACUUUGCUUGGUCCGGUGUUCUGUCACGGUGCUACGGUGAUGAGUUGAGGAAUGUGAAGACGACGCCCAGUGUCAGUGAAGAUGGUGUGGACAGGAAUUCUGCUGUUUAUGGGAAAUCUGAAGGAACAUCUCCCAGCAUUCUACCACAUGUUGCCCUGAUGAUUGAGGUAAUUCACCUCUUAGUUGAUGCAGAUGUGGUCAAAAGUUUACACACACCUUGCAGAAUAUACUGCUUCAUCAGGGCAGUAAUUGCAAUUUUUAUUUUUAAUUAUUCUACCUCUCUACCCUCUUACUGCUUAAAUUAUUAACAUUUUGCUGAUACUGCAAGGUGUAUAUAAAGUUUAGACUGCAACUGUGUCUAUUGUUUUCACUCAACUGAGCCAUUUAUAAUGACUUGAUAUGUUUUAUAACAAUUUUUCUUCUUUCUUUCCUAAAGGAAUUUUUUCGGACUUUCCUGCCUCUUUGGAACAUUUCCGUUCACACAGACUGUGGAGAGAUGGUGUGCAGCUUCAUGAUGUGAAGUUUAGUGCCGAUGGAGAGCUUCUGGGACAUUGACAGACAGCACUUUCCAGCAAGUUCAUUUUGAGUUCUUUUUUUUUUUUAUUAAUUAAUUUAUUUAUUUAUUUAGUCAAACUUACAUUCACUAAUGCUGGAGUAACCUUUUAGAAGAAAACUUUCAGUCCUGUUUAAUGUUGGUGCUAGUAAAUGUUUGAGAACUAAUGGCCUGGUUUCACAGACAGGGCUUAGACUAAGCCAGGAUCAUAGUUCAAUAAGGACAUUAAGUAAUUUUCAUUAACAUGCCUUAGAAAAAACAUUACUGGCUUGCAUCUUGAGACAAAACAAAGGCACUGGUAUUUUUAAAGAUCAGUCAGUGCAAUUUUCUAUCAGUUGAAACAGCUCAGAAUUACAUUUUAGUCUGGGGCUGGUCUUAAGCCUUGUCUGUGAAACCAGGGGUACAAGUAACCCACUUUGGUAAUGUUUUACAAUAAGGUCUCAUUUGUUGUACAUUGAAUGAUAAUUUUCUUGAAUGUUUUUGGUAUUAUGUGUGUGUGUUUUUGUGUGUCAGUAAUCCUAUACGUUACAGG
ensembl:lncRNA